CCCUUAGAUGUUCUGGGCCGUACGCGCGCUACACUGAUGCAUUCAACGAGUCUAAAACCUGCUCUGAUAGGGGUGGGUAAUCUUUUGAAUGUGCAUCGUGAUUGGGAUAGAUGAUUGCAAUUUUUCAUCUUCAACGAGGAAUGCCUAGUAAACGCAAGUCAUCAGCUUGCAUUGAUUACGUCCCUGCCCUUUGUACACACCGCCCGUCGCUCCUACCGAUUGAAUGAUCCGAUGAAUAUCAUGGAUUGAGGAUGCAAGCAGGCUCGCCUGUCUUCAUCUUCGAGAAGUGAAGUAAAUCUUAUCAUUUAGAGGAAGGAGAAGUCGUAACA
rnacentral:rRNA from 1 species